UCGGUUCGGUUCAGUUUGAACCGAUUGCUCACCCCUACCUACAGAUGCAUGAUAAGACACCUAAAGAAUUCAUCCAUAUAUAUAGACCUGAAUGACUCAUAAUUAAAAUGAGAAUGAAUAACACAAAAAAUUUUAGACACAAAAUAGAAAAUCCAAAAUGCAUUUAACUGUCCCUAAUAUGCUGCUUUAAGAGCAAGUCUAUCACCUGAUUAAAAUUACUGCAGUCCCAAAGAACAGCAUAAUUUCUUUUUCUUUUUCUUUUCCUUAUAUUGAGUGCAUUAAGAAUUCUAGAACAUUUAUUCUCCUAACUGCAAUCUGUCAGUAUUCUAAAACAAAAACAAUAUGAACUACAUAAAUCAUGCAUGAAAAUGAAUCCUAACCUUGAUGCCUAGAGAGUAGAAUGGAGGUGAGCAAAUAGUAAAGUUGAUGUUUUUAUCUCUCAGCUUUAAAUAUAAGCUAAAUUAUUUUAUUAAUUCUAUAGCCAAAAAGAAAUUAGCUUUUCACAUAAGCUUCGUUACAUAAAUAUUAUUUUAGGCUGUGUUUCUAGUAGUCUGCUUGUAGAGUUGGAACAGCAGGCAUAUCCAGGAGUGAGGUAAUUUUUAUAGCCCAUUCUUGAAUUUUACCCCGUGUUCCACUUUUGUCCCUUAACUUUAAUUUGUCACUAAAACAAUCACUAAAUUUUAAUUUUGUUUCAAAAAAAAUCUCUCUAAGCUGUAAUACCAGUUUCCAGAUUAAAAAAUCCCUCUAACCUAUAGUGUGACCUUUACAAAUACAACUUCAGCAUUUUCCAACGAAGAGUAAAUCCUUCUCUUUCCAAGAAUGAUAUCGAUGUGAUGGCAUAAGUAUUUUUGUGAAAGGUCCAGAUGAUGGUUGAAAUAGCCAGUGUUUUUUUAGUUUGAGAGGACAAGAAGGAAAAAGGUAAUUUCAUUAUUUUUUUAACUUGAAAACCUGCUAUAGCAGGUUAGAGAAAUUUUUGUGAAACAUAAUUAAAGUUCAUGAAUUUUUAGCAACAAAUUGAAGUUAAGCGACGAAAGUACACAAGACGAAAUUCAAGGACGAGCUAUAAAAAUUACCCCCAAGAAUGAGAUUAAUCAGACACCAGAUUUCAGUACAAUUCAGAUGUUAAGUAUUCAAGCAAAAGCAUCUUGCACAAUCUAAACACCUAAAUUCUUUGUCCUUCAUAGAUGAACAAGAGCUGUAUUUACAAAAAUCAACGUCUCCACAACCUUAUGGUAUUGAUCAAGCACUAAACCACCCAAAACAUCAAGAGAGCCAAAUAGAAGUCAAAACAGCCAGAAAAGAUCCAGAGUGCACAUCAGAAUACAGAAAUGACACACGAUAGAAGUCACAUAAGAGCAUUUGUGUCAAUGCUUGUUGUUAGUUGAAGAUGGAAAUGUGCCACUGGAGAUCAGUGUCUGUCAUACACCUGAUACAAGAUUUCUAACAUGCAACCUCAAGUAGCAACACUUAUUAAUUACUACUACUUUAUGCAUGAUCACAAGUCUUCAAAGAAAGCAGCUUCAUUUUCAUCAGACCACAACAAAACUGUGUCAUUAAAAUAAAGGACAAUAUGGAAGGGUAUUAGAAUGGUUAUUAACUAGUAACUUCUAAUUUAAAGAAAGAUAACCACUUGCCUUGAAAUUGCCCUCUUC
rnacentral:misc_RNA from 1 species